UGUGUGUUAGUGGAAGCGUCUGGAAAGGCGUGCGAUACAGGGUGACAGCCCCGUACACAAAAAUGCACAUAUUGUGAGCUCGAUGAGUAGGGCGGGACACGUGGUAUCCUGUCUGAAUAUGGGGGGACCAUCCUCCAAGGCUAAAUACUCCUGACUGACCGAUAGUGAACCAGUACCGUGAGGGAAAGGCGAAAAGAACCCCGGCGAGGGGAGUGAAAAAGAACCUGAAACCGUGUACGUACAAGCAGUGGGAGCCUCUUAAUGGGGUGACUGCGUACCUUUUGUAUAAUGGGUCAGCGACUUAUAUUCUGUAGCAAGGUUAACCGAAUAGGGGAGCCGAAGGGAAACCGAGUCUUAACUGGGCGUUAAGUUGCAGGGUAUAGACCCGAAACCCGGUGAUCUAGCCAUGGGCAGGUUGAAGGUUGGGUAACACUAACUGGAGGACCGAACCGACUAAUGUUGAAAAAUUAGCGGAUGACUUGUGGCUGGGGGUGAAAGGCCAAUCAAACCGGGAGAUAGCUGGUUCUCCCCGAAAGCUAUUUAGGUAGCGCCUCGUGAAUUCAUCUCCGGGGGUAGAGCAC
rnacentral:rRNA from 1 species